ACUUUAUCACAGCCUUCAGUGCAGUCAGCUGCUUCUCGUUGACAUCAUUCUGUGCAGUAGUAGGUGGUGCAUUUCCAGAUUUGACAGGUGAAGAUACUCUGUUUGCUUCAUUCAAGUAAGAUUUUAGUAGUGAAACAGGUGAAAACUUGUCAGUCAGCUCAAACGCAAAAGCUAGAUUAACAGCAUCUAUAUGCCUCCCGUUAUUAACCAACACGUCAAUAACACCUGGCAUUCUCUCAGACAAUCCAAGGGAACGACAGAGAUCUGCUGUUUGGCGACGACGUGAAACCAUGGGUAUCAGCUUGUACAGGUCUUCCUGGUUAAAGUUGGAGUUAAUACCGAAAGUAGCAAGAAGCUGUAAGAAUGCAUGAGCCUCCAAAGAAUUUCCAUUAUUUGCAUCAACAUCAAGUUCAUCCAACUUCGGGUUCCACUCUUCAGCAAUAGCUUUUGCACGUCCUCUAGUAUUUUCUGAUAUUAUACUUGAAAUGGAAUCUGUAUCCAGGGUGUUCAAUAAAGUACUAAGGCAUUCCAGCAACAUAAUACAAGUUCGCCGCAGUCCCAAAAGAUUAGCAUCUUUUUUAGCAUCAGAAAUAGACAUAUCAGAGUUGUAAAACCCGUGCAGCGAAUCCAGAACCAGAGAGGCGGGAUUGGUUGAAGCUCUUAAAGCAAGUGGAAUCUCCUCCCUGAGUGCUGCCAGGUUUUUACGGUUGUCUGAUAUGAAUUUGUGCAGACCUUCAGAAUCCAUAUUUCGGCAUAGAUUAACUAGCUCUGGAUAAGACUUAACUUCCACAACACUAUCCUGAAAAGAUUUCCAUGUAUCCCCUGUAACAAGCCCAAUUUCUGUUAAAUUAUCGGGUUUCUCUUCCAGAACAGAUGGCUCGUCUUCAACUUCACAAUUAAUAACAGUUGGUUCCACAGAACAAGGGCUCCUAUGCUUCUCCAAAGCAAUUGAAAUGGCAGAAACUGCUGCAUCUCUUUUCUCCUGGAGCCUCUGAAGAGAAGAUUGCUCUUUAGCAAUAACAGCUGCUUGACGCUUCUCCAAUAUCUCUGUAGAUUGAACAAUUUUUGUCUCGAACUCCUUCUCUUGGUCUUCCAGUUCAGUGAAACGCCUCUUCAAGGAUUUCUGAAGCCCAUUAAAGUGCUCUUCAAGUUGCUUCCACUGCAGGUUGAGAGUAACAGCACGGUGACUUUCCAACUCAGCGAAUGCUUUCUGUAGUUGCUGUAUCUUAGAUGUUGUAGAGUCCAUCAAUGUUGCAACUGAUUGUGUAUCUUCCAUGGUAAAACUCCACGAUCGGCGUAGGCGGCGAUAGGCGAAGAAGAGAUGUCGGCGGCAAAUUACGCCGGAGAAUUUAGACCAUUUUGGGUUUG
rnacentral:misc_RNA from 1 species